rnacentral:rRNA from 1 species
UGAGGAAUAUUGGACAAUGGGCGCAAGCCUGAUCCAGCCAUGCCGCGUGCAGGAAGAAGCAUCUAAGGUGUGUAAACUGCUUUUGUACGGGAAGAAACACUCCUACGUGUAGGAGCUUGACGGUACCGUAAGAAUAAGGAUCGGCUAACUCCGUGCCAGCAGCCGCGGUAAUACGGAGGAUCCAAGCGUUAUCCGUAAUCAUUGGUUUUCAAGGGUCCGUAGGCGGUUUAGUAAGUCAGUGGUGAAAGCCCAGCGCUCAACGACGGAAGGGCAUUUGAUACUGGUAGACUAGAAUUCUGUAGAAGGUAGUAGAAUGUGUGGUGUAGCAGUGAAAUGCUUAGAGAUCGCAAGGAAUAUCAGUUGCGAAGGCGGCUUCCUACUACAGCAUUGACGCUGAGGCACGAAAGCGUGGGGAGCAAACA